UACAACAGAGCAGGUAUCAGGCUCAAUAACAUUAGCCCAUUACACCUUGCCAAGCCACAUCCCCACGGAUUAACACAGCAGUGACCAACAUUAGGCAAUAAGCACAGCAAGCUUGACCUAGCUAACACCCCUAUGGCCGGCAAAUCUCGUGCCAGCAGCCGCGGUUACACGGGAGGCCAAAGAUAACACCUUAACGGCGUAAAGAGUGACUCCAGAUUUCCCCUACUACAAGACCCCGGAAUUCUGCCUCAGAGAUGAAAUCCCAAGGCAGCCAAAACUCCUAGUCAUCCCUCAGUAGGCCAUCCAACUCACGAAAACCAGGACACAAACUAGGAUU
rnacentral:rRNA from 1 species